CAGCUACUCCCUCCGUUCGGAAUUACUUGUCUCGAAAAUGGAUGUAUCUAGAACGUUCUAGAUACAUCCAUUUUCGAGACAAGUAAUUCCGAACGGAGGGAGUAGUAU
rfam:Triticum aestivum genome assembly, contig: Triticum_aestivum_CS42_TGACv1_scaffold_406247_5BL